UUUACUUUUACUUCCUUAGGAAAAAGGAAGAAGAUAAAAUUGUCCCACAAUGAGGCCAAAAAAUCCAAAGGAAAAACUAAUCAGUUGGACAUUCAGGGUGAGGUAGCCUGCUCCAAAGUCAACCCAAGACGGUGUACGAAAAGGCCAUGGAGCAAAAAUGAAGUUAAUGCUGUGAUGAAACACUUCAAAGCACACAUUUUAAAGGGACACCUUGCAACAAAGUUGGAGUGUCAGCAAUGCAAGCUU